rnacentral:lncRNA from 1 species
CAGCAGUCCCAUCUUCAGUCAAAGAUGAGAAAACUGAGGAACAAAGAGGAUACACAGCUUACUCAAAGAUACACAUCUGUGGUCGAGUGCAGUGGCUCAUGCCUGUAAUCCCAGCACUUUGGGAGGCCGAGGUGGGUGGAUCACUUGGGGCCAAGAGUUAGAGACUAGCCUGGCCAACAUGGUGAAACCCCGUCUCUACUAAAAACAAAAAUUAUCCAGGUGUGGUGGUGGGCGCCUGUAAUCCCAGCUACUUGGGAGGCUGAGGCACAAGAAUCAUUUGAAGCCUGGAGACAGAGGUUGCAGUGAAGCAAGAUCACACCAAUGCACU